CUACGGGUGGCUCCAGUGGGGAAUAUUGCACAAUGGAGGAAACUCUGAUGCAGCAACGCCGCGUGGAGGAUGACACUUUUCGGAGCGUAAACUCCUUUUAUAUAGGAAGAAGAUGACGGUACUAUAUGAAUAAGCGCCGGCUAACUCCGUGCCAGCAGCCGCGGUAAUACGGAGGGCGCAAGCGUUACUCGGAAUCACUGGGCGUAAAGAGCGUGUAGGCGGAUUAAAAAGUCAGAAGUGAAAUCCUAUAGCUUAACUAUAGAACUGCUUCUGAAACUCUUAAUCUAGAAUAUGGGAGAGGUAGAUGGAAUUUCUGGUGUAGGGGUAAAAUCCGUAGAGAUCAGAAGGAAUACCGAUUGCGAAGGCGAUCUACUAGAACAUUAUUGACGCUGAGACGCGAAAGCGUGGGGAGCAAACAGGAUUAGAUACCCCUGUAGUC
rnacentral:rRNA from 1 species